UACGAAGGGGGCUAGCGUUGCUCGGAAUCACUGGGCGUAAAGGGUGCGUAGGCGGGUCUUUAAGUCAGGGGUGAAAUCCUGGAGCUCAACUCCAGAACUGCCUUUGAUACUGAAGAUCUUGAGUUCCGGGAGAGGUGAGUGGAACUGCGAGUGUAGAGGUGAAAUUCGUAGAUAUUCGCAAGAACACCAGUGGCGAAGGCGGCUCACUGGCCCGGUACUGACGCUGAGGCACGAAAGCGUGGGGGAGCAAACAGG
rnacentral:rRNA from 1 species